AUAAAGGAUAUAAUAUUAUAGACAUCGACUUGAAGAAUGAAUGUAAUGUAAUAUACCAGACACAGGUCCUUCUUGCCCCGCUCUGUGCGGGCCUCGAACCUGGCGUGGGAGUCGGAUGCUCUAACAAGGAAGCUAAAUGCUGCAACCUCUAACAUCAGUCCCUAGAGCAUCUCUUGAGAUCAGAGGAGUGAGGUUUUACUUGCACAGCAACUACUAGCUGGCCUCCAUUACUCAUGAUACAGGCAGUUGUAAAAACCUAAGAUAUUGAAGAAACUCAUCAGGAAUAAAGAGGAGAGCAAUUUUCUUCAAACAUUAGAAGAAGUGAAUAUAAGUAAGAGCGGUGCAAGCACAGAAAUGAGUUACUGUGCAAAAUCACUAAGAAAAAAAUGAAUAAAAUUCUGCAAUAGGAUAGACAGAAAAAAACAUGCAUGUCUGUUUCUUUUGAUUAUGCUGAGUAGGUAACCAGAAUAUGAAUAUUAAUCAGAAAAUAAGCAUGUAAACAUGGACAGAGAAACCUAUUGUAAAAUGUUCUUGAGUUUACCAUCGAGCAAUACUUCUUUGCUGUGCAUCAUGGCAAAGUUUCAGCACUGUAAUUGUUCUCUAGUGGUGCACUUAUGUAAGCGUGUGGUUAUGCAGUUUUGCAAUGCUAAUUUAAAAUGUCUUUAUGUUACGGAACCGUUGCUCUGUAGGUCUGUGCCGAAGCGACUGUUAAAAUGGAGUUACACACAGUGCGCAGAUGAAGCAAGCAUGGCGAUUGCUCAAAGACUCUGUGUAGAAGCGUUUGGAUCGUUGGUAUAAAAGAGAUUGUCAAAGUCUGAUUGGCUGCUGAGAAGAGGGCGGUUACUCAUCUGGUGCAGAAAGAGAUGUUCACUUUGAACCCUGUUAGUUCAGGGGUCUCUUGUGAGCUUACACAACAGGCUUGAUGUCCACUGGGUCCUACUGGAGAUGACCAACACGAACACAUUUUCCCAA